CAUAUGGGUGGUUGACGUGACGCUCAAUUUUUGUGUCCACAGUGACAAAAUAACUAAAAUUUUAUAAUAUUUAAUUAAAAUUCAUGUUUUUUAUAUGCAUUUCAUUCUUCUACAUCUAAUCCAUCUGCAAACAAUGAGUAUUGUUCUUCAACUAUGCAAAUAUUCUGCUUUGAACAUGCCAUUUGUCCACCGGUGCAACUGUCCACGGUAGAAUUACUUAUCUUAAAACGUCUGUAAUUUAAUGAGAAAUUAAUCUAAAUACAUUAAAAUACUUGAAUGCAUGUCAUACGAGUGUUUACUUAAUGAAUCUAGAGGUUAUAAGGGUUAAGGUCCCUAUGUAGAGUUAUUAUGACACAUUACAUUUUGUCCACAAAACUGGUGUCCUCCUGGAGCAACGGCAUUAUGUAGAUAUAAAACAGACAUUAAUGUGACCACCCCAUUACUGAGAGGGGUCCUUCCACAACCAGGAAGUACAGAAGACAUCACUGGAGCACAUGGACUGUACACAAGAUAUCAGCAGAAGAAAGCAUGCGGGAAAAUCGUUCAGCAAAGCGUGAAGUCUGUGUCGCCAGCAACACAGAAGAAGCUACAAGAGAAAUGGAGAGAGUCAAAGCGGAGAUGUAGGGCAAGGGAAAAAGCCACUAAUGCUGUCCUUGAUCUUACGCCACAAUCACCUCAGGAUCAUGACCAGCCAUUUGAAGAGAUCAAUGACCCCCCAGUGGCAAGGCCAGUUAUCAAUGGAGCCUCAGUGGCAAGGCCGGUUCUGCAUGAAGUGAUCAAUGCUGUCCCAGUACCAGUACACGUUUUGUGUAGCACACCAGAGAAGUCCCCCCGAAACCAAAAUCCACCCAAUAAAAGAAGAAAAACUAAAAUGACCAAAGAACUACGGAAACUACAAAAACAAAAUGAGAAAUUAAUGAAGGAACUUGAGGCUGAAAGAAGAAGAGUAAAUACAUUUAGGCGAAAGAAUCAACGCCUCGUGCAAAGACGGAAUAUGGAUAAACGUGCUAACAAAAAAACACAAACAAAGCGAGGAAACACUGGAAUUCAAUUAAAAAUAUAUAUUUUACCUGUGUUUUGACUGAAUUUAAAAUAAUAAAUUUGACUGUACACAACAUAGGCAUACUAGUAUUCUGUUGUCCAACGGUGCAACAAAAUGUCCUGCGGUGCGACAAAUUGAAUUGUGAGGGGAAAAGGUAUUUUAAUGAAAAAUGUAUGUAAAAAGUGUUGGAUAGUAUAACAAUGAUAUCAUCACUAUGCAGCUUUAAGGAUGAAAUGAAGAUUCCUUGAGUUUUAUACAAAUUAUAAUGAAUGUAACCCAGACAUUUGGGUUAAGUCUCUAUGUGUACAUCUUAUAGUAUAUAAAUAACAUAAUUCUGAAUUUGUUGGGGGUAUGUUUGAUGUGGAAAUAUAAUUGGGACAAACUAAUAUGCCUUGUGCUUAUCUAUCUUACCUGUCCAACAUUCUCUGAAUUAAAUAAUGGCAUUCUUUA